rnacentral:rRNA from 1 species
UACGUAGGGUGCGAGCGUUGUCCGGAAUUAUUGGGCGUAAAGAGCUUGUAGGCGGUCUGUCGCGUCUGCUGUGAAAAUCCGGGCUCAACCCCGGACUUGCAGUGGGUACGGGCAGACUAGAGUGUGGUAGGGGAGACUGGAAUUCCUGGUGUAGCGGUGAAAUGCGCAGAUAUCAGGAGGAACACCGAUGGCGAAGGCGGCCCCUGCUCGACCUGACC